GGCCUGAUGGCGGAUGGUCUGCACCCACUGAUAAUAUGCUGGUAGUACAAUUCGGAAGUGGGAACCCCUCGUUCGAAUCGGGGUCAGGCCG